rnacentral:rRNA from 1 species
AUUGAACGCUGGCGGCAGGCCUAACACAUGCAAGUCGAACGGUAACAGGAAGAAGCUUGCUUCUUUGCUGACGAGUGGCGGACGGGUGAGUAAUGUCUGGGAAACUGCCUGAUGGAGGGGGAUAACUACUGGAAACGGUAGCUAAUACCGCAUAACGUCGCAAGACCAAAGAGGGGGACCUUCGGGCCUCUUGCCAUCGGAUGUGCCCAGAUGGGAUUAGCUAGUAGGUGGGGUAACGGCUCACCUAGGCGACGAUCCCUAGCUGGUCUGAGAGGAUGACCAGCCACACUGGAACUGAGACACGGUCCAGACUCCUACGGGAGGCAGCAGUGGGGAAUAUUGCACAGUGGGCGCAAGCCUGAUGCAGCCAUGCCGCGUGUAUGAAGAAGGCCCUCGGGUUGUAAAGUACUUUCAGCGGGGAGGAAGGGAGUAAAGUUAAUACCUUUGCUCAUUGACGUUACCCGCAGAAGAAGCACCGGCUAACUCCGU